UGAGAGGUCGUCUAAGGGUAGGACACGUGACUCUGGAUCACGUAGUGGUGGUUCGAAUCCACCCCUCUCAGCCA
rnacentral:tRNA from 2 species